rnacentral:rRNA from 1 species
GACGGAGGGUGCAAGCGUUAUCCGGAUUUACUGGGUUUAAAGGGUGCGUAGGCGGUACAGUAAGUCAAUAGUGAAAUCCAAUAGCUUAACUAUUGAAGGGCUAUUGAUACUGCAGUACUAGAGUAUAGUAGAGGUGAGCGGAAUUUUGCAUGGAGCAGUGAAAUGCGUAGAUAUGUGAAGGAACGCCAAUAACGAAGGUAGCUCACUGGUCUAUUACUGACGCUGAGGCACGAAAGCGUGGGGAGCAAACAGG